rnacentral:rRNA from 1 species
GAUGAACGCUGGCGGCGUGCCUAAUACAUGCAAGUCGAGCGAACAGACGAGGAGCUUGCUCCUCUGACGUUAGCGGCGGACGGGUGAGUAACACGUGGAUAACCUACCUAUAAGACUGGGAUAACUUCGGGAAACCGGAGCUAAUACCGGAUAAUAUAUUGAACCGCAUGGUUCAAUAGUGAAAGACGGUUUUGCUGUCACUUAUAGAUGGAUCCGCGCCGCAUUAGCUAGUUGGUAAGGUAACGGCUUACCAAGGCGACGAUGCGUAGCCGACCUGAGAGGGUGAUCGGCCCCACUGGAACUGAGACACGGUCCAGACUCCUACGGGAGGCAGCAGUAGGGAAUCUUCCGCAAUGGGCGAAAGCCUGACGGAGCAACGCCGCGUGAGUGAUGAAGGUCUUCGGAUCGUAAAACCCUGUUAUUAGGGAAGAACAAAUGUGUAAGUAACUAUGCACGUCUUGACGGUACCUAAUCAGAAAGCCACGGCUAACUACGUG